GCCUUUGUGGUGUAGUGGUCAGCACGCUCGACGCGUAACCAAGCGGUCUGAGGUUUGAUUCCCGGCGAAGGCG
rfam:Stegodyphus mimosarum contig18009, whole genome shotgun sequence.